rnacentral:rRNA from 1 species
AGAGUUUGAUCCUGGCUCAGGGUGAACGCUGGCGGCGUGCUUAACACAUGCAAGUCGAACGAAGCACUUUAUUCGAAUUCUUCGGAAGGAAGAUUUAGUGACUGAGUGGCGGACGGGUGAGUAACGCGUGGGCAACCUGCCUCAUACAGGGGGAUAACAGUUGGAAACGACUGCUAAUACCGCAUAAGCGCACAGUACCGCAUGGUACGGUGUGAAAAACUCCGGUGGUAUGAGAUGGGCCCGCGUCUGAUUAGCCAGUUGGCGGGGUAACGGCCCACCAAAGCGACGAUCAGUAGCCGACCUGAGAGGGUGACCGGCCACAUUGGGACUGAGACACGGUCCAAACUCCUACGGGAGGCAGCAGUGGGGAAUAUUGCACAAUGGGGGAAACCCUGAUGCAGCGACGCCGCGUGAGCGAAGAAGUAUUUCGGUAUGUAAAGCUCUAUCAGCAGGGAAGAAGAAUGACGGUACCUGACUAAGAAGCACCGGCUAAAUACGUGCCAGCAGCCCCGGUAAUACGUAUGGUGCAAGCGUUAUCCGGAUUUACUGGGUGUAAAGGGAGCGCAGGCGGAAGGCUAAGUCUGAUGUGAAAGCCCGGGGCUCAACCCCGGUACUGCAUUGGAAACUGGUCAUCUAGAGUGUCGGAGGGGUAAGUGGAAUUCCUAGUGUAGCGGUGAAAUGCGUAGAUAUUAGGAGGAGCACCAGUGGCGAAGGCGGCUUACUGGACGAUUACUGACGCUGAGGCUCGAAAGCGUGGGGAGCAAACAGGAUUAGAUACCCUGGUAGUCCACGCCGUAAAC